rnacentral:rRNA from 1 species
UGGGGAAUUUUGCACAAUUGGGGAAACCCUGAUGCAGCGACGCCGCGUGAUUUAGAAGGCCUUCGGGUUGUAAAAAUCUUUUCUAUGGGAAGAAAAUGACAGUACCAUAGGAAUAAGGACCGGCUAAUUACGUGCCAGCAGCCGCGGUAAUACGUAAGGUCCGAGCGUUGUCCGGAAUCAUUGGGCGUAAAGGGUACGUAGGCGGGUAAGCAAGUUAGAAGUGAAAUCCUAUAGCUCAACUAUAGUAAGCUUUUAAAACUGCUCAUCUUGAGGUAUGGAAGGGAAAGUGGAAUUCCUAGUGUAGCGGUGAAAUGCGCAGAUAUUAGGAGGAAUACCGGUGGCGAAGGCGACUUUCUGGCCAUAACCUGACGCUGAGGUACGAAAGCGUGGGUAGCAAACAGG